ACUGAACCUCUGAACCUGAUCAAGUGAUUGGUAAUGGAAAUUCUUCACAUCGGCCUGGAACAUAUUCUCAACCUACACAGCACCAGAUUCCAGUUCUACAAGGGUCACAGAUGCAAAGAAAAGAAUGCAGCGAACAAAGCACCUGAAGACUCGGGGUGUGCCUUAUAACUCCAGGUGUGUCUCUCUAACUCCAGGUGUGCUUCUAUAACUUACUCCAGGUGCCCCACUAUAACUUCACAUGUGCCUCAGUAACUUCCUCCAGGUGUGCCUCUAUAACUUCCUCCAGGUGUGCCUCUAUAACUUACUCCAGGUGUGCCUCUAUAACUUCCUCCAGGUGUGCCUCUAUAACUUACUCCAGGUGUGCCUCUAUAACUCUGGGUUACCUUUGCAAUUCCAGGUGUGCCUCUAUAACUUCAAGACCAAUCUAGUGACUCUCUCCUAGUGUCUCCAGUUCUCCAGCAGCUCCGGAUUCUUCUCAUUCUUAACUCUCCCUAGAAACUCUACCAGACUCCUUCCCCCAACACCUGCUUCUCUUGCCCCAUUCAU
rnacentral:sRNA from 1 species